rnacentral:piRNA from 1 species
UGCUUUCUAACAUACUAUUUCCCUCCUGU